rnacentral:rRNA from 1 species
AUUGAACGCUGGCGGCAGGCCUAACACAUGCAAGUCGAGCGGAGCGGCGGACGGGUGAGUAAUGCCUAGGAAUCUGCCUGGUAGCGGGGGAUAGCGUCCGGAAACGGGGGCUAGUACCGCAUACUAUCAGAUGAGCCGAGGUCGGAUGGGCGAGUUGGUGGGGUAAAGGCCUACCAAGGCGACGAGCCGUAACUGGUCUGAGAGGAUGAUCAGUCACACUGGAACUGAGACACGGUCCAGACUCCUACGGGAGGCAGCAGUGGGGAAUAUUGGACAAUGGGGGAAACCCUGAUCCAGCCAUGCCGCGUGUGUGAAGAAGGCCUUCGGAUUGUAAAGCACUUUAAGUUGGGAGGCGUUACCCGCAGAAUAAGCACCGGCUAACUCCGUGCCAGCAGCCGCGGUAAUUC